rnacentral:rRNA from 1 species
AUUGAACGCUGGCGGCAUGCCUUACACAUGCAAGUCGAACGGCAGCAUGAUCUAGCUUGCUCGAUUGAUGGCGAGUGGCGAACGGGUGAGUAAUACAUCGGAACGUGCCCUGUAGUGGGGGAUAACUAGUCGAAAGAUUAGCUAAUACCGCAUACGACCUGAGGGUGAAAGUGGGGGACCGCAAGGCCUCAUGCUAUAGGAGCGGCCGAUGUCUGAUUAGCUAGUUGGUGAGGUAAAGGCUCACCAAGGCGACGAUCAGUAGCUGGUCUGAGAGGACGAUCAGCCACACUGGGACUGAGACACGGCCCAGACUCCUGCGGGAGGCAGCAGUGGGGAAUUUUGGACAAUGGGCGAAAGCCUGAUCCAGCAAUGCCGCGUGUGUGAAGAAGGCCUUCGGGUUGUAAAGCACUUUUGUCCGGAAAGAAAUGGCUCUGGUUAAUACCUGGGGUCGAUGACGGUACCGGAAGAAUAAGGACCGGCUAACUACGUG